UACGUAGGGUGCAAGCGUUGUCCGGAAUUAUUGGGCGUAAAGAGCUCGUAGGCGGUUUGUCGCGUCGAAUGUGAAAACCCGGGGCUCAACCCCGGGCCUGCAGCCGAUACGGGCAGGCUAGAGUUCGGUAGGGGAGACUGGAAUUCCUGGUGUAGGCGGUGAAAUGCGCAGAUAUCAGGAGGAACACCGAUGGCGAAGGCAGGUCUCUGGGCCGAUACUGACGCUGAGGAGCGAAAGCGUGGGUAGCAAACAGG
rnacentral:rRNA from 1 species